CUUCUCCAAAUGUUUGCACCUCCAUCAAAGCGGCGGGGCAAGCCCCGGAGGAAGAGAGAAUGUCUGAAGCAUUGAAGAGUACGACCCAGGAAUUGAACCACCCAAGUCGGAGGAGGUAGAGGUUGGAAGUCACCGACUUUGGCCAGCACUUGUGUAGUGUCACCUGUCUUCACUUUCUAACGUUUAUUUUUCCUCCCCUUUCUGUGGCUGAUUUUCUGAUCUUUGUUCCUCGGUUCCCAGGACCAGGCCCACUCCCUCCGCCUUUUCAGCGAAGGCUGCAGUGCAUGACAGUUUACAGCCAAAACUUCCUCCAGCCCGGCUAUAAAGAAUUCCCAGUUAAUAACAAUGCGCUUCCUUGGGAGGAAAGAGGGGCUGAGGCACCGCCAGCUGUUUCGCUCCCAGGGUCUAUCUCUCCUUGGCAAGCCCAGCCAUUCAGAGAAAAACAAGACAAAGCCUUAUGGCUGGGCCUCAGGAUGCAACUGUCCCACCGAAAACAUGCUUGAAACAUUUUAUAAGAAAACACACACACACACCCCACUCGACUCCCAGAGAGGCAGUUUUCCUGGGCCCAAUCCCUUCUGAAAAAGCAAAGCCAUUUAUCUUUAGAAGCAGGCAACAAUGAAGCUGUAACAGGCUCAAGGAGGGGUGGAGGACAGCCUCGCGUGACUCUUACCCCACACUCUAGUCCCUCUCUUUCUGCAAGAAAAACAAAUGAAUUUCUUUUCUGAUUAUAUAUGUACUCCUUGUAGAAAUAUUAUAUAUGUAUCUGUCUUCAUAUAUAUGUAAAACAGUCACCCACAGUAUCUGUGGGGGAUUGGUUCCAGGACCUACAAAGAUGGCAGAAUCCAGGGAUGCCCUAGUCCCUUGGCAUGGUAUUUGCAUAUAACCUAUGGACUUCCUCCAUGAACUAUAAAUCACUUCUGGAUUACUUAUAAUACCUAAUACAAUGUAACACUAUGCAAAUAGUAGUUAUACUGUAUUGCUUUUUAUUUGUAUAAUUUUUAUUCUUUCAUUAUUGGGGAGAGGGAGUUUGGAAUGUUUUCUAUCAAUUCAACCAACCACGGAUAUGGAACCUGUGGCUAUGGAGGGCUGGCUGUAUGUUUAUCUCUCUCUAUGUAUAUAAAUGCUAACCUCAAGCACUAAGCAAUGUUCAUA
rnacentral:lncRNA from 1 species